UACGGGGGGAGCAAGCGUUGUUCGGAUUUACUGGGCGUAAAGGGCGCGUAGGCGGUCAGCACAAGUCAGUUGUGAAAUCUCCGGGCUUAACUCGGAAAGGUCAACUGAUACUGUGCGACUAGAGUGCAGAAGGGGCAACUGGAAUUCUCGGUGUAGCGGUGAAAUGCGUAGAUAUCGAGAGGAACACCUGCGGCGAAGGCGGGUUGCUGGGCUGACACUGACGCUGAGGAGCGAAAGCGUGGGUAGCGAACAGG
rnacentral:rRNA from 1 species